UAGGGAAUAUUGGACAAUGGGGGCAACCCUGAUCCAGCCACGCCGCGUGAGUGAAGAAGGCCCUCGGGUUGUAAAGCUCUUUUGUCCGGAAAGAAAAGCUUCGGGUUAAUACCCCGGGGUUCUGACGGUACCGGAAGAAUAAGCACCGGCUAACUUCGUGCCAGCAGCCGCGGUAAUACGAAGGGUGCAAGCGUUAUCCGGAUUCACUGGGCUUAAAGGGUGCGUAGGUGGGCAGAUAAGUCAGUGGUGAAAUCUUCCGGCUUAACCGGGAAACUGCCGUUGAUACUAGUUGUCUUGAAUAUUGCGGAGGUAAGCGGAAUAUGUAAUGUAGCGGUGAAAUGCUUAGAGAUGACAUAGAACACCAAUUGCGAAGGCAGCUUACUACACAAUCAUUGACACUGAGGCACGAAAGCGUGGGUAGC
rnacentral:rRNA from 1 species